UCUCGAUCGAUUGAGGUAAAAGUUUGAAAACCCGAAGCUAUCGCGCACAGAGAUGGUGACGAUAUUGAGAGAAUCACGGGUUGCAAAAAUCAUAGAGAAUGAUCUCAAGAACCCAAGCUCAGAUUUCAUUUCAAAUUUCGACAUUCUCCACAAAGAAGAUCAAGGGCAAGUUGAGUCUGCAGCUUUGGAUCAGCUCGAAAACCCAGACUACCAUGUAGACUCAGUCCGGCUUAUGAAUUUAUGCAACAGGAUAAAAGAGGCGGUGUCCUCAGUGGAUUGCCCCGUGAAAUUUAUCCAGAAAUAUUUGAUUAGGCCUGAUGCAAAUUUAUUUUUCCUCCGUACAAUUCUAAAUUUCUGUCUCUACAAUUACAAGUAAGCUCCCUCAACUUGGGCACCACUCUGCAUUAAGUUUAGGGAAAGUGGUGGCAAUUAUUUGCCAUUGCAUUGAGAUCUGAUUGGAAAUAUGGGAACAAUAUAGACAAAAACUUUUUCAUUGAUGGUGAGCUGGUUUUGUGUUAUAUGUUUCAUGUGUUUUGGGUGUAUUUAAUGAUGGAAUUGUGUGGGUAAUUAAGAAAUUGACCAACAUGCAUUUACGGGAUUGAAUUGUCUAUCAACUCUGAUGAGGAGGAUUCUCUAUUAUCUUGGUCUCUACUAGUUUUAUUGAAAAAAAAGUGUAGGAAUUUAGUUCAGAUCUCUCCGCAAUGGAUUUUUUUUAGUUAUUAGUUUGUAAUCAGCUUUGCCAACCUCACGAACUCCAAAAUGAAUGAUUUGAGGCCAAUUUCAGAGGAUUCGACCCUUCUUGAUGGGCAGCGAAAAGAGUGGGAGGCAAAGAAUUCCCAGCUAAAUGCAGAUAUUUUGGACUAUUACUAAGCAAGAGAGAGGGAGUUAUCAUUUGUUCAGGACAUUGAUGCUAAAGUCAAAGAAUUGCAUCAAACCAUCACAGGCCUUGACAGUCAGUCAGUCAGUCAUCAAAUGUCACUUAGAGCUUCUUUCAGGAAGUUGAAGGAUAAAACUAGAGAAAUGAGUGAGAAGGUCCCUAAUAUGGAGAAUUCAUCUUGCUUAGGGUUUAGGGUUCAUUUUAGUUUUAUAUUUAAAAAAUUAAAAUUUUAGGAUGGAGAAGCUAUGGUGUUUAGUUUGAUAUUGUACAACUCUGUCUACUGAUCACAAUAGAUGUCUAAUCAGAGAUGAUGAACAUUGUUGGAGUGAUAAUGGUGUCUCAAAUAUCGAAAGGGGAUGCUAUGCCAAAUGCAUUGAUCUAUCGAGGGAAAAAGAGCCUGACAUCUGGAAUGCCAUUAAAUUUGGAACUGUGUUGGAGAAUGUGGUGUUCGUUACUUCAAUGAGCAUACACGAGAAGUUGAUUAUGUUGAUAGAUCUAUCACAGAGAGAGAAUACUCGAGCAUCUUAUCCCAUUGAGCACAUUCCUAAUGCAAAGAUACCAUGUGUCAGUCCCCACCCAAAGAAUGUGAUUCUUUUGGCAUGUGAUGCAUUCGAUGUCCUCCCUCCUAUCAGCAAGCUAACCUUGCACAAACGAUGUACCACUUCAUCAGUUGGUACACAGCUCUGAGAUCAGAAUAAGAAUCUCGAAACAAUUUCAUGGGACUACAACUUUGAACCUGCAGGAAGCACACCUUUCAAUUUUAUUGUUAAGGUAAAUGCCAGUGCAUACUAUGCAUUGGCUCCAGCAAAGGGUGUCAAUUUGCUCAUUUAAAGUUUAUGCUACAAAUGUUUCUCAUUCUGUCUCUUUUAUAUUUUCUGAAAAUUGAACUACAAAAGCAUUACCGCAAGAGCUUUCCAAGUAAGCCAUAUUCGUCUAAGAAUUUCUGUGUCUUUUAGAUAUUGAAUCCAAUGAAAACAUACUUAUCUCAUUGGGCAUCUUUGUGCAGAGGAAACAAUCACCAAAGAAACGACGAACAGGCACCCAAAAGAGCACACAAACCCGCGAUUAAGCCGAGAUCUCACUAACCCCUCCCUAAGUUUUUUAGACACCUAGAUUUAAGUCUGCAAUUGCCUAGAUUCUCAGGACAGAUAAUUGUUAGAUGUUUUUUAAUAGAGUUGUUGAUCCUCUAUAUUUUAUUUUUCAUAUUUUUUUUGGCGUCAAGAUUAAAUGUUCCUGGAACAUGCAGAUGGCUCAGGUAGUACACGAAUUAUGCUUACAUUUGUUUUUAAA